rnacentral:misc_RNA from 1 species
CGUCUGGCUAGUGCCGUCCACCGAACGGUCGGCAGGCGAUCCGCGUCGGUCGCGCGAGGAGGGAUGGUUCCCCCGAGGCCGGGUCUUUGUGUGCCCACCCCCUCCGGGGAAGCAGGCCACUCGAUGUAAGCCUCCAUCCGGCGCCUGGCAACGGGGGCAGGAGGACAACGGAGCACCCCCCGCGUUCCACCGAGCCUCCCUCGGUCGCGUGGCCCGCGGGGACGUGCGAUGCUCUCGGACCCAGCGCACGCCGUGGGGGAGGACUCCCGUCCCAGUCCCGAGUGAAGCUGCCAUAUAACGCACGACGGCGGCUCCUCCCGCCCCCCGACCGCCCCGGCGGUGCGAGGGCGAGGCGCGGCGUCGCGGAGGAAUGCUACCU